AACGUAGGAGGCAAGCGUUAUCCGGAAUUACUGGGCGUAAAGGGCGUCUAGGUGGGACCUUAAGCGCGGUGUGAAAGCUCCCGGCUCAACUGGGAGAGUGCGCUGCGAACUGAGGACCUAGAGGGCGGGCGAAGGGGGUGGAAUUCCCGGUGGAGUGGUGAAAUGCGUAGAGAUCGGGAGGAACACCAGUGGCGCAAGCGGCCCCCUAGCCUGCAACUGACACUGAAGCGCGAAAGCGUGGGGAGCAAACGGG
rnacentral:rRNA from 1 species